rnacentral:rRNA from 1 species
UUUCAGAGGAAAAAGUCGCCGGUGCUCCUGCUAAAGAUCGACAUUGCAAAGGCCUUUGACACGGUUUCAUGGGAAUAUAUCCUCGAGCUGCUACAGCGCAUGAACUUCUCGGCACGCUGGAGAGACUGGAUCGCCCUGCUUCUCUCCUCCGCAUCCUCCACCUGUCUGCUCAACGGAGACCCGGGCCCUACGAUUCUCCAUCAGCGGGGACUGCGGCAAGGGGAUACCCUCUCACCGAUCCUCUUCAUCCUGGCGAUCGAUACCCUUCACCGACUGUUAGAAGCAGCGCAGCAGGCCGGCGCCAUCGCUCCCCUGCCGACCGGUGCAGCACGCCUGCGCGUCACGCUAUAUGCUGACGACACGAUCUUCUUUGCCAAUCCGGGGCGCCAGGAGAUAGACACCAUCAUGCAACUCCUAGACGGGUUUGGAAAGGCCACGGGGCUGCACAGCAACCCCCAAAAAUCGUCAGCGGCAGCCCUCAACUGCGGUAGUAUCGACCUCAUAGAUGUCCUUCAAAAUUUCGGCGGCACUAGAGUAGGAUUCCCGAUCAGGUACCUAGGUCUCCCGCUCUGCAUGGCAGGCUCUGGCUCGUGCACAUCCAAUACCUUCUCGACCGCAUCCGUGCAAGGCUGGCGGCUUGUAAAGGUCGUCUCCUGCCGAUCGCGGGUCGCCGUGUGCUGGUCCGGUGCGUCCUGUCCGCACUGCCCGCCUUCGCCAUGGGCGCCCUGCGCAUCCCGAAAAGAUUUUACAAGGACGUCGACAAGGCAUGUCGGCAGUUCGUGUGGGCGCACGAUGAAGAGGCCACCGGCGGUAGAUGCAAAGUGA